rnacentral:rRNA from 1 species
GACGAACGCUGGCGGCGUGCUUAACACAUGCAAGUCGAACGGAAAGGCCCUGCUUUUGUGGGGUUCUCGAUUGGCGAACGGGCGAGUAACACGUGAGUAACCUGCCCUUGACUUUGGGAUAACUUCAGGAAACUGGGGCUAAUACCGGAGAGAAGCUCCUGCUCCAUGGUGGUGGUUGGAAAGUUUCGGCGGUUGGGGAUGGACUCGCUGCUUAUCAGCUUGUUGGUCGGGUAGUGGCUUACCAAGGCUUUGACGGGUAGCCGGCCUGAGAGGGUGACCGGCGACAUGGGGACUGAGAUACGGCGCAGAAUCGUACGGGAGGCAGCAGUGGGGAAUAUUGCACAAUGGGCGGAAGCCUGAUGCAGAAACGCUGCGUGCGGGAUGACGGCCUUCGGGUUGUAAACCGCUUUCGCCUGUGACGAAGAGUGAGUGACGGUAAUGGGUAAAGAAGCAACGGCUAACUACGUG